GGAGUGGCCGAUGCCUGAUUAGCUAGUUGGUGGGGUAAAGGCCUACCAAGGCGACGAUCAGUAGUUGGUCUGAGAGGACGGCCAGCCACACUGGGACUGAGACACGGCCCAGACUCCUACGGGAGGCAGCAGUGGGGAAUUUUGGACAAUGGGCGAAAGCCUGAUCCAGCAAUGCCGCGUGAGUGAAGAAGGCCUUCGGGUUGUAAAGCUCUUUCAGUCGAGAAGAAAAGAUUGUGACUAAUAAUCACAAUUCAUGACGGUAUCGACAGAAGAAGCACCGGCUAACUACGUGCCAGCAGCCGCGGUAAUACGUAGGGUGCGAGCGUUAAUCGGAAUUACUGGGCGUAAAGGGUGCGCAGGCGGCUUUGUAAGUCAGAUGUGAAAUCCCCGGG
rnacentral:rRNA from 1 species